UUUUGUCUGAAGAGGACCUGAGACUGGCUUUUGGUGAUGUAUUAUGUUGGAUGCUAGAAAAGACUAAGUGGCCAGGAAUUUGAGUGGCAGUUACAAGAUUGAAGGCUCAGUCAUCAGUUUUCCCCCUUUUGGUUCCCACCCAUCUGCAAGAGCCCAUUUUUAUUCUACCUGUGACUCAUCACUGAACGCCCCCACACUGAUGAUGGAAAAGACAAGACAUGUCCCCCGAAAUGUGUGUCAUCGAGCCAUCUGCUACUUUCUGUACUGUGAGCCUUCAAAUCCUUUUGCACCGGGAGGAGGGCACAUUCUUUAUGGUCUCUGCAAUCACAGACAGGAACACCCCCAAGCACCCAACCCCCAAAGACACUUCUCCAACUACACGGCUCGUGCACCGAGGAAUUGAAAUUUCUUUUGCAUUGGCUGGAAGCCUGGAGUCCUGUUUAGGGCUUUAUCCUGCCUUGGGUUGUUGCUCGAACAGGCUCUGGGCAGCUGUGACCAUCUCGGGGAAAGAGCAGCUCUCUGUUCAUGGCUAUCAGCUAGAGGGAGAAAAGGCUGCCACUUGCAGGAUCAUGGACAAAUCAUCUCCUUUUAAAGAACAAAAUUAUAAUUUUUAAUGCCUACAGUAAUUCUGAUCUAUGCCAGUGUAUUCAAAAUCCCAAGCAAAAACAGAUCAAGUUCCAGCAGCUGAGCCUGCAGGCUGCAAUAUCUGAAACACUGUAAUUUGGCAAUGUGAUGGGAAGACAUAUUUCCCCCUGUGAAAACUGAGGUUUGUGUGGAGCAAAUA